AUCACAGCCAGGAGCAGCCACCAUGGCUGGGCUGCUGACUCAGGAGCUCACUGGGGGUUUUUUGCUCAUAGCCCUGGAAAGCUGCUCUGUGUCAAUGAAGGAACACAUGUCUCCUGGGUGGCCAAGGUGGAACCCCAUCUGGAGAGAAGCGGUGGGGCCAUGAAAAGAUGGAGCUCAGAGCUAUACCGCUUGGGUUGACAACCAGCUUCGUGCCUUACUGCCUCCGGGCCUUCAGAAGUUCUUGGCAUUACUCAGCCCCCGUUUCCUCCUCCGUGUAACAGGUCUUAGUUGCAACACGUGGGAUCUCUGAUCUUCAUAGGCAGGAUCUUUUCAGUGUCGGCAUGUGGGAUCCAGUUCCCUGACCAGGGAUGGAAACUGGGCCUCUUGAAGUGGAAGCACAGAGUGUUAACCACUCGACCACCAGGGAAGUCCUAUAAUCUGUAUUUUCAAAUGUGUCCUCAAGUGAUUCUGUUGCUCAGUCAGGCUUGGGAAUCAUCAGCCUAGUUUCUCAA
ensembl:lncRNA